GGUGGCUCAGUGGUAGAGCUCUUGCCUUGCAUGCAUGAGGCCCUGGGUUCGAUUCCUCAGUACCA
rfam:Dipodomys ordii contig_2330, whole genome shotgun sequence.